UCACACUGCACCUGUCUGGUAAGAAGACAACAUAUUAUCUCCAUUUUAGAGAAUGAAAAAGAAGAAUGGGAGGCAUCGGAAGCUCUCAGAAGAAUAACUACUUGCUCUCAUCUUGAUCCAUAGGAAUUGACCAGCUGACCAGCUGGCUAAGUACCCAAAUGUGUGUGGUGAGGGUGAGACUUAAAAACAGAGCUCAACAUCUGAAAUCUAGAAAAAUUUGGUGCCAGUGUUCUUCAUACGAAGUUAGUGAUGCGCUGCCAGUAUUGCAACAGCAUCCUCCUGGGACACAUUUCUAAUGAUGGACAGUCUGUAUCUGCCUCCUGCCAGCUGCAUUGCAAACAUAAUAUGCUCUUUGCAGUUUCAAUCAAAAUGAAAUUCUUCAUGGAAAACUGUACUGUAACUGGAAGUAUUUGAAAAUCAAAUGCUUCACAGCAGGAACUGUUUCUGGCAGCUUGGUGAACCAAGAAAGGCAAUAUUCUUCUGGGGUGAGUUCUUAUUCAUUGGCUAUCUGGAGUGCAUGGAGAAGAGCUUGACUGGUUGGCUGAUUCCUGUUCCCCCACUUUCUAAGGAAUCAGUUCAACCACAUGUUUUCUCAUUGUCAACUUUAUAUAAAUAGACUUCCCUUGGCUAUUGUUGGUCUUUCGAAGAAGGAUUGAAUCUUGUUGAAGUUUCUUUCUUACAGACAUAGAAAAUGCUGGUAGCCAUAACACUCCAAACUAUUUUUCUGGAUCUUAAUUUGACUAGGGAGAGAGAAGGUCAUUUUUGUUUAAACAGGGAUUGCAUUUUACAGAAACAUUGCCUUGAGAGACACAACAUGAAUUACAACAUCAUGAUGUAUUCAGCCAGAUGUCUGCAAGACAGAAAAUCACGUGACUGAGCAAGGCAUGUGAAUGUUCUUAAAGGGGGAGAAAUAGAAAAGAAAAACCAAACAUGCAUCAGAUAUUUCCUUUUUGCAUCACAUUAUUCCCAAUCAUAUGGAUGCCUUAUGUUUAUAACUUGCCAAUUAUGAAUUUCCCCUCAUGUAUAUUAAACUUAAGGAUCACUAUAAUUUUAAUCUUGUUAACAAAUUUGCUGUUUGUCUAUAUCUAUUUAGGAGAUUAGCAUCCAGGGCUCAUUAGGUAUCUGUUAGGAUGGUUGUUAGGGCAUAGUGAGAAAUUAUUUUUUGGCACUCACAACAAAUGUAUAUGGAUAUACAUUUAGUUUCUUGGGAUCCUAGUCCAUGUAUUUGAAAAGUAUAUGUACUUGACGAUCCUGAGCAAAACUGGAAUCAUUUGAAUUAAUUCAUCUUUUUUUUUCACAAUUGGCAAUCUCACGCUCAGUAUAUUAAUACAUAUUCACUAAAUAAUCAUAGUGUAGUUUGUAGUUUCUCAGUUGCACAGAAAUGGUUGGGUUCUUUCAGGGAUCCUUACUUGAAGAUAAGGAUCAGAGCACUAUUAAGGAAAGGGAGGAUAAUCCUGAAGUGUGGGAGGGGAUGGUCAUGGAUUUACCUAUUUUUACUAUUUGUUUUAUUUACUCUAUUUCUAACAACCCAAUCACUUCUCCAGUGGCAAAGGCCUUUGGCAUUUGGUAGGCACCCAAUGCAUAAUUGCUGAUGAAAGAAUGAAUUCUAUUGCCAGGGCAUCCAUUUCAUUUUCUCUGCAGCCACACCAUCAGCAUGGCAACUGCCCCGACAGCACAUUCUUUUCAUGAUUGUUUUAAAUUUCUUAUGCUAUUUUCCGUAAGGUAGUGGUCUAUAUAAUUUUUAGUCAUGCACUCCUAUUAAUUAAGUUUUGUGCAUGUAGUCUCUAAAUACAUAUUUUACAAAUAAGAUAUUCUGUUGCUUUAUAAAAUAUAGUUAAUCAGAAGAAUGAGAUUGUUAAUAACAAUUCUAAUAAUUAUUUCUCCAUUUUCAUGGACUGUCUUGCUAACCUUCCUUGUACACUGUAUUCUGGAGAACCUUGGCUGUUGAAAGCAUAAAGGAAGAAGAAUGCAGUUUUUGCCUUGGGGAGCUUACAUCUUAUCUGGUAUACCAGAUAAACACAAUGAAGGACAACACAACGGUAAACAAGGUAUUUCAUAUCAUGGUGGACUAGAAGAGAGUCCCUGUACAGAAUUUUGCUAAAAACAUAAAAUUUAAAACAUAUUUCAGUCUGCCACCUUUGAUUUGUAGUAAGAUACUUCUUAUGUUGAAUUGAGUUUAAGCACACUCCAAACUUUGCUCGUGAUAGUAAGUGAAUUCUCAUGAGAUCUCAUGGUUUUAUAAAUGGUACUUUUUCCUGCGCUCACACUUCUCUCUCUUGCAGCAUGUGAAGAAGGUCCUUGUUCCCCCUUCGCCUUCUGCCGUGAUUCUAAGCUUCCUGAGGCCUCCACAGCCGUAUGCAAAUGUGACUCAACUGAACUUCUUUCUUUUAUAAAUUACCUAGUUCUUGGGGAGUGUUUUUAUAGCAGCUUGAGAAUGGACUAAUACACUUUAUUAGUCAUUCAACCUCUCUAAGCCUCCAUUUGCUUGUCUGUAAAAUGGAAGUAAUAACGUCUUCUUCAUGGAGUCUUUAUUAUUAGUAUUAGAGGAUCCAAUGAAUGGAAAACACCUGGAAUAGAGCUGGGUUCCUGUGCAUGCUUACCAAAAGUCCUUUCUCUUCUCCUGCAAAUCUUUGAAUGUCUAUCUUGAUUAAUUCUUGUUGUAUUUAUAUUACAUGUUUGAACUACAGGCAUUGGAAUCAAACUUCCUAAGUACUCAUCUUCUCUGGAAUACCAACUAGUAACCAAGUAACUUAGUAAACUAUGACUCAGUUUGUUUAUCUGUAAAUUAAAAAUAGGCCAGGCGCGAUGGCUCAC
rnacentral:lncRNA from 10 species